rnacentral:lncRNA from 1 species
AGCGUCUCCCUCAAAUAACAUGGAUAUCUGAAGUCCACAGACUUGGUGGCAUGAUUUUUUUUCUUUCAAGUGUGACAAGUUAUUCUGGUGAGUUUAGAUGAGAAGAUGUGCUAAGAAGUGAUACAGUGGCACACUAAGACAGUCCUGCAGGUUCCUGUCCUAGUCUACCCAGCGUGGGGGUGAGGCAGAGCAUGGGCAGGACCAGCCCACUGUGCAAGGAAGCACAGCUGUUUGGAAGAAUUCAACUGCAGGGAGAAAAUAAUGUUUGAUGAUGCCAGUA